rnacentral:rRNA from 1 species
AGAGUUUGAUCAUGGCUCAGAUUGAACGCUGGCGGCAGGCCUAACACAUGCAAGUCGAGCGGUAGCACAGAGAGCUUGCUCUCGGGUGACGAGCGGCGGACGGGUGAGUAAUGUCUGGGAAACUGCCUGAUGGAGGGGGAUAACUACUGGAAACGGUAGCUAAUACCGCAUAACGUCGCAAGACCAAAGUGGGGGACCUUCGGGCCUCAUGCCAUCAGAUGUGCCCAGAUGGGAUUAGCUAGUAGGUGGGGUAACGGCUCACCUAGGCGACGAUCCCUAGCUGGUCUGAGAGGAUGACCAGCCACACUGGAACUGAGACACGGUCCAGACUCCUACGGGAGGCAGCAGUGGGGAAUAUUGCACAAUGGGCGCAAGCCUGAUGCAGCCAUGCCGCGUGUGUGAAGAAGGCCUUCGGGUUGUAAAGCACUUUCAGCGGGGAGGAAGGCGAUAAGGUUAAUAACCUUGUCGAUUGACGUUACCCGCAGAAGAAGCACCGGCUAACUCCGUGCCAGCAGCCGCGGUAAUACGGAGGGUGCAAGCGUUAAUCGGAAUUACUGGGCGUAAAGCGCACGCAGGCGGUCUGUCAAGUCGGAUGUGAAAUCCCCGGGCUCAACCUGGGAACUGCAUUCGAAACUGGCAGGCUAGAGUCUUGUAGAGGGGGGUAGAAUUCCAGGUGUAGCGGUGAAAUGCGUAGAGAUCUGGAGGAAUACCGGUGGCGAAGGCGGCCCCCUG